GGAGAAAUGGCAGAGUGGUCGAAUGCGGCGGUCUUGAAAACCGUUGACCUUCACGGGUCCGGGGGUUCGAAUCCCUCUUUCUCCGCAA
rnacentral:tRNA from 1 species